GAUGAACGCUGGCGGCGUGCCUAAUACAUGCAAGUCGAGCGAACAGACGAGGAGCUUGCUCCUCUGACGUUAGCGGCGGACGUGUGAGUCACACGUGGAUAACCUACCUAUAAGACUGGGAUAACUUCGGGAAUCCGGAGCUAAUACCGGAUAACAUAUUGAACCUAAUGUUUCAAUAGUGAAAUACGGUUUUGCUGUCACUUAUAGAUGGAUCCGCGCCGCAUUAGCUCGUUGGUAAGGUAACGACUUACCAAGGCAACGAUGCAUAGCCGACCUGAUAGAGUGAUAGGCCACACUAGAACUGAUACACGAGACAGAGUCCUACGAGAGGCGACAGUAGGGAUUCUAGCACAAUGGGCGAAAGCCUGGCGAGAAAACACCGCGUGAGUGAUGAAGAACCUCGGAUCGUAAAACUCUAUUAUGAGGGAAGAACAAAAGUGUAAGUAACUAUGCACGUCUUGACGGUACCUAAUGAGAAUGCCACGGCUAACUACGUG
rnacentral:rRNA from 1 species